UACGGAGGAUGCGAGCGUUAUCCGGAUUUAUUGGGUGUAAAGGGUGCGUAGACGGGAAAUUAAGUUAGUUGUGAAAUCCCUCGGCUUAACUGAGGAACUGCAACUAAAACUGAUUUUCUUGAGUACUGGAGAGGAAAGUGGAAUUCCUAGUGUAGCGGUGAAAUGCGUAGAUAUUAGGAGGAACACCAGUGGCGAAGGCGACUUCCUGGUCUGCAACUGACACUGAGGCGCGAAAGCGUGGGGAGCAAACAGG
rnacentral:rRNA from 1 species